rnacentral:tRNA from 3 species
UGCGGGGUAGAGCAGUCCGGUAGCUCGCAAGGCCCAUAACCUUGAGGUCGGCCGUUCAAAUCGGCCCCCCGCAA